UGGGGAAUUUUGGACAAUGGACGCAAGCCUGAUCCAGCCAUGCCGCGUGAGUGAAGAAGGCCUUCGGGUUGUAAAGCUCUUUCGGACGGGAAGAGAUGGCGGGCUCUAACAUAGCCUGUCGAUGACGGUACCGUAAGAAGAAGCACCGGCUAACUACGUGCCAGCAGCCGCGGUAAUACGUAGAGUGCGAGCGUUAAUCGGAAUUACUGGGCGUAAAGCGUGCGCAGGCGGUUUUGUAAGACAGAUGUGAAAUCCCCGGGCUUAACCUGGGAACUGCGUUGGUGACUUGAAGGCUGGAGUACGGCAGAGGGGGGUGGAAUUCCACGUGUAGCAGUGAAAUGCGUAGAGGUGUGGAGGAACACCGAUGGCGAAGGCAGCCCCCUGGGCCUGUACUGACGCUCAUGCACGAAAGCGUGGGGAGCAAACA
rnacentral:rRNA from 1 species